rnacentral:rRNA from 1 species
AGUGAACGCUGGCGGUAGGCCUAACACAUGCAAGUCGAACGGCAGCACAGUAAGAGCUUGCUCUUACGGGUGGCGAGUGGCGGACGGGUGAGGAAUACAUCGGAAUCUACUUUUUCGUGGGGGAUAACGUAGGGAAACUUACGCUAAUACCUCAUACGACCUACGGGUGAAAGCAGGGGAUCUUCGGACCUUGCGCGAUUGAAUGAGCCGAUGUCGGAUUAGCUAGUUGGCGGGGUAAAGGCCCACCAAGGCGACGAUCCGUAGCUGGUCUGAGAGGAUGAUCAGCCACACUGGAACUGAGACACGGUCCAGACUCCUAAGGGAGGCAGCAGUGGGGAAUAUUGGACAAUGGGCGCAAGCCUGAUCCAGCCAUACCGCGUGGGUGAAGAAGGCCUUCGGGUUGUAAAGCCCUUUUGUUGGGAAAGAAAAGCAGCAGGUUAAUACCCCGCUGUUCUGACGGUACCCAAAGAAUAAGCACCGGCUAACUUCGUG